GAGUGAGGGCCCUCUGGGUCCAACCUCCCACCCGUGUCUAUCGUACCUUGUUGCUUCGGCGGGCCCGCCGUUUCGACGGCCGCCGGGGAGGCCUUGCGCCCCCGGGCCCGCGCCCGCCGAAGACCCCAACAUGAACGCUGUUCUGAAAGUAUGCAGUCUGAGUUGAUUAUCGUAAUCAGUUAAAACUUUCAACAACGGAUCUCUUGGUUCCGGCAUCGAUGAAGAACGCAGCGAAAUGCGAUAAGUAAUGUGAAUUGCAGAAUUCAGUGAAUCAUCGAGUCUUUGAACGCACAUUGCGCCCCCUGGUAUUCCGGGGGGCAUGCCUGUCCGAGCGUCAUUGCUGCCCUCAAGCACGGCUUGUGUGUUGGGCCCCCGUCCCCCUCUCCCGGGGGACGGGCCCGAAAGGCAGCGGCGGCACCGCGUCCGGUCCUCGAGCGUAUGGGGCUUUGUCACCUGCUCUGUAGGCCCGGCCGGCGCCAGCCGACACCCAACUUUAUUUUUCUAAGGUUGACCUCGGAUCAGGUAGGGAUACCCGCUGAACUUAAGCAUAUCAAUAAGCGGAGGAAAAGAAACCAACAGGGAUUGCCUCAGUAACGGCGAGUGAAGCGGCAAGAGCUCAAAUUUGAAAGCUGGCCCCUUCGGGGUCCGCGUUGUAAUUUGCAGAGGAUGCUUCGGGUGCAGCCCCCGUCUAAGUGCCCUGGAACGGGCCGUCAUAGAGGGUGAGAAUCCCGUCUGGGACGGGGUGUCUGCGUCCGUGUGAAGCUCCUUCGACGAGUCGAGUUGUUUGGGAAUGCAGCUCUAAAUGGGUGGUAAAUUUCAUCUAAAGCUAAAUACUGGCCGGAGACCGAUAGCGCACAAGUAGAGUGAUCGAAAGAUGAAAAGCACUUUGAAAAGAGAGUUAAACAGCACGUGAAAUUGUUGAAAGGGAAGCGUUUGCGACCAGACUCGCCCGCGGGGUUCAGCCGGCAUUCGUGCCGGUGUACUUCCCCGUGGGCGGGCCAGCGUCGGUUUGGGCGGCCGGUCAAAGGCCCUCGGAAUGUAUCACCUCUCGGGGUGUCUUAUAGCCGAGGGUGCAAUGCGGCCUGCCUGGACCGAGGAACGCG
rnacentral:rRNA from 1 species